rnacentral:rRNA from 1 species
UGCUUGGGAAUUUGCCUUGAGGUGGGGGACAACAGUUGGAAACGACUGCUAAUACCGCAUAUUGUCUACGGACUAAAGGGGGCUUCGGCUCUCGCCUUUAGAGAAGCCCAAGUGGGAUUAGGUAGUUGGUGAGGUAAAGGCUCACCAAGCCCACGAUCCCUAGCUGGUCUGAGAGGAUGAUCAGCCACACUGGAACUGAGACACGGUCCAGACUCCUACGGGAGGCAGCAGUGGGGAAUAUUGGACAAUGGGCGCAAGCCUGAUCCAGCCACGCCGCGUGAGUGAUGAAGGCCUCGGUUG